GAUGAACGCUGGCGGCGUGCCUAAUACAUGCAAGUCGAGCGAAUGGAUUAAGAGCUUGCUCUUAUGAAGCUAGCGGCGGACGGGUGAGUAACACGUGGGUAACCUGCCCAUAAGACUGGGAUAACUCCGGGAAACCGGGGCUAAUACCGGAUAACAUUUUGAACCGCAUGGUUCGAAAUGGAAAGGCGGCUUCGGCUGUCACUGAUGGAUGGACCCGCGUCGCAUUAGCUAGUUGGUGAGGUAACGGCUCACCAAGGCAACGAUGCGUAGCCGACAGGAGCGGGUGAUCGGCCUCACUGGGACUGAGACACGGACCAGACUCCCACGGGAGGCAGCAGUAGGGAAUCUUCCGCAAUGGACGAAAGUCUGACGGAGCAACGCCGCGUGAGUGAUGAAGGCUUUCGGGUCGUAAAACUCUGUUGUUAGGGAAUAACAAGUGCUAGUUGAAUAAGCUGGCACCUUGACGGUACCUAACCAGAAAGCCACGGCUAACUACGUGCCAGCCGCCGCGGUAA
rnacentral:rRNA from 1 species